GGGGCAGCGCUGCGGGCAGGAGCUCGCUCGCUCCCCCCCCCGCAGGCAGACGAGCCAGCGCGGCCGGGCGGGCGCCACAGUCUCGUGAGUGACGCCACUCAGAGCGUGCCGGUGCGUCUGCGCGGACCUGCCGGGGCCAGCCUCGUCAGCGAGAGACCUGCCCGCUCUGCCUGGACUGCGGGCGCAGGAGCCCAAACGCGAACUGCUGCCGGCAGAAUUUCCUGCGCCACCACACCAGCGCUGGGGCAGCCAAGGAUUCCCCCAGUACCUGAGAAGAGCAAUGCAGCUGAGGAUCUAGCUCAAAAGAACUAAGCAGAAGAGCGUUAAAGCAGAGACAAUUUGAGCUAAAUCGUUUCUCAUCUGUACACGAUCAGGACGACCAACUGGAAAAACACAAUACACCACUUUGCUCUUUCUAUAUAUAGUUCAGAUAGCGUGGAUUCCCCAGCAUUCAGAAGAGCAUUGUAUGCAGUUUGGUGAUGACCAGCUUUUCUUGCAACUCUGGCACUCUGGAGCCAACAUU